AUAAAGUUCCCCUUCAACUACAUGAAGACUUGUUUAACGUACUAGAAGAAUUGUUUGACCUUCCUCUUGAGACCAAAAGGAAAAAUGUUUCUGAUGUACCUUUCACUGGGUUUAUCGAACAUGUACCCGACCGAUCUUUCAUGGAAUCCAUGGCAAUCACUCGUGUAGAAACUCCUGAAGGAAUUCAAGAUUUCACAAAAACCAUGUGGCCUAAUGGCAAUAAUAAUUUCUGGUGAGAUUUUUUUAAUUUAUGGCUAGCUUCGGCUCUAAUAUUUUUCAAAAUUUAAUUAUUUUCUUUUUUAUUUGAUAGCAAAAUUGUUCACUCAUACACAAAGACAGUGGAAGAGCUACAUAAAAUGGUGGUGAAGAUGAUCUUCGAUGGUUAUGGGGUGGAGAAGUACUAUGAGUCCCAUACGGAAUCGACCACUUACUUUGCGCGAUUUUUGAACUAUAUAGUUCCUCAAGAAAAUGAAAAUGAAACCAAACAGGGAUUGCAUCCCCAUAUGGACAAAAGUUUCCUUACCAUACUUCAUCAGAAUGAUGUUAAUGGUUUGCAAAUUAAACCAAAGAAUGGAGAGUGGCUUGAUGUUCAAUUUGCUUCUUCAGAUUUUUUAGUCUUGGCAGGCGAAGGAAUCAUGGUAAGGGACUAAAGGUUCAGUAACUAUCGAACAAUAUUUGAUAUUAAUAAAUUUCGUCAUAAUUCUAGAGGCCAUUUACUAAAUUUGAUAAAAGACAAUAUUUGGUAUUCAAGAACAAUUUAAUAUGGAUCGUUUAAUUUUAAAUGGAUAUUAACGUCAGGGUAUAUUAGAAAAAAAACAAAGAAAAAAUGAUAGUUUAGUAAUGUUAAUUAAAUUUUCUUAAUUUAUAUGCAAAUUAGAUCAGGAUAAAAAUUAUUGGACGGAACGAGUAUUAUAUAAAUCAAUUAGUUGUGAUGAGUGUUUGAAUUUGAUGAUAGGGAUGGAGCAAUGAUAGGAUUGAUGGUUGUGAUCAUAGAGUGACAAUAAGUAAGGAGAAAAGAUUCUCAGUUGGGCUAUUCUCAUUUGUCAAAGGAAUAAUGCAAGUGCCAGAAGAAUUUGCUGAUGAUGAUCAUCCAUUAAUGUAUAAACCCUUCGAUCACAUUGGUCUGCUUCAUUUCUUUGGUACCCCUGAAGGUCACAAGCAGCACCAUUCUUUGAAAGCAUAUACCGGCCUUUGAGCUCCUUUCACAUACACACCUAUCUAUAAGCUGCGUUGGUCUCUGAAUAAAUAUGAAAUUGGUGUUUUUUAUAUUGUUUGUACUCGUUUUAGGUAUUCGUAGUUUAAAAUAGUUAAGUUAAAAUAAGAUAUUGGCCGAACACACACAUAUAUAUCCAUAAGGUGUGUUGGUCUCUGAAAAAAUAUGGAAUUGAUGUUUGUUUAAUGGAUUAUACUGUUUGUACUCGUUUUAUGUACUUUUAGUUUAAAAUAAUUAAGUUAUUAAGAUAAUACAAGUUGAGUUAUUGACAUAAAACUUCUAAUUAACAAUAAAUUACUUUUCUAUGAAUUGUAUUUAUAUGUGAUUGUGAAUAUAAUCACUGCAAUCAUACAAAAUCAAUAGAAUCUGAUACAAAGAUUAAUGGGACAAUAAAUACAGCUUGGAUUAAAAUAAUUAUAUAGAUUAAAAUAGAUUAAGUUAAAAUAAACAAACACACUAAGGUAUGGCCUAGUGAUAAGUACAUAUACAACUUGAUAAUAGAUCAAAUUUUGAAUCUCCCUUCCCCGAUACUCAAAUUUAAAUAAAUAAAUAAAUAAACAACAUAAUAAUAACAUAUAAUUAUAAAAAUGAAGGAUGUAUCUCAUUCAUAAACAAAAAAGAAGUUUCGAACACUAAAUAUGAGUUAAAACACUUGUGGACGAGACCUCUCAUUCUCACGUAAGUGAGAAAACCAACCAGAAUAUUCUUAUAAUAUUUAAUAGUUUAGUCUUCACAUUUUAUUAUUUAGUCCAUUAUAUUUUCAUUUAAUGGCAGAAAUAAGACUUUUUUUAAAAAAAAAAUUUUCAGCAGUCUAAUAACUUUUUUUUUUUCUAACUUGUCUUUCAACUUAUAAUUUUGAAUUAAUUAAGUCCAAAUACAUUAUAUGACUCAAUUUGGAAAGCAAAUUCACCCAAAACAAAUGUAAUUAUAUAAUCAAGUAAUAAUUAAAUAUAACAUACAAUUACAAUAGUCAAUUUUCAAUUCGAGGUCUUUAAUUUUAGUUCAAGAUUUAAGCUCAAUUAAUCUACAAUAAGAUAGAAAAAGUUUUGAAAAUGAAAGUUCGUGAUAUUACAACAUACAUAUAUACAAACAUGUUGUCCUCACUCAGAGUUAAAUAGAUUGCCUGUAACAAAAAAAUUAAUGAAAGAAAUAGCUCGAUACCUACAGUUUAUAUUCUACUCAUAACUUACAAUAUAAUGUGCAUAAGAGACAUUUUAACAAUAGAAAGAGAUUGAUACCUAGAGACAAUAUUCUAUACUCAUAACUUGCAAUAUAAUAUGCAUAACAGACAUAUUUUAUGUGCGAUAAAAAUUUGUCUAAUAACCAAUACAUGCAUGUAGCAUUCUAUUAGAGUCAACAAAAAUUAUACGUAAUAGAAAAUCAACAAAAGAAAGAACUUGAUACCUAUAGUUUAUAUUAAUUUGCAUAAGAGACAUACAUGUACUGUACAACACAACUAAUAUAAUAUGCAUAAGAGACAUAUAUGUACAAUACAAAUUGUUUAAAGCUAACCUCUAUAUAUAUAUAUAUAUAUAUAUAUAUAUAUAUAUAUAUAUAAACACAGUUAGAGUCAAUAAUUAGAGUUUACAUAGUCACAACUUGCAAUAUAAUAUGCUUAGGAGACAUAUAUUUUAUGUACAAUAGAAAAUGUCUAAACCUGACCAAUAUAUAUAAACAUAUGUAGCAUUCAUUUAGAGUUAACUAAAUUAUUUGUUUCAGAAAAUUAACAAAAGAAAUAGCUCGAUAGCUGCAGUUUAUACCUAUUAAAUUAUCACUUAAAUAUAAGUUAUAUGUCGAACUAAAUACCUAUUCGAUACUGUUAUAACAUGUCAAAUUGAAAAUACUCUCUCUGUUUUACUUUAAUAGUAAUAUUUCAUCCUUUCACAAUAAUUAAGAAAAUGAUUGGCACAUAUUAAUUUUCUAAAAAUAAAUAGUAGAAAGCUUAAAUUCCCUUCUUAAAGUUAAAAACUCCACAUUUUUUUUAUGAGUAUAAAAACUCCACAUUUAAUUUACUACAAAACCAACGCUAAUUUUAUCUUAUAUUAAAGCACCACAAUUAUAGUACUUCUAUCUCAUUUUUUCCAUGUCUUGAUAUAAUGAAAAAUUUUUAGUUAUGUGUAUAGUCAAAAUUUUAAUUUAAUAAAAAAGAGAAAAUUAAAUAUAUGCAUACAAAUAAAUUACCCCUAAUAAAUAUGGGUAAAAUAGAAAAAAAACUAUUAAUCUGCUCUCAAAAUCCUAAAUGAGCACUUAAAUGGAACAAAGUAAAGUGUUUAUUUGUUGUUAUUUAGUGAAUGGAGGGAGUAUAUAUAUAUAUAUAAUCCCAAAUAAAAAAAUAUCUCUGCAAAACUGAUUUGAUAUUCUCUGCUUCCAGUAUUCUUAUUUCUCUUUUUUUUAAUAAAUUUUUGAGUUUUUUUUAUCUUAUUUUUUUAGUUUUCCAUGGAUAAAUAAUUAGUUAGGAAAAUAAUUUUUUAUUCAAUAUAUAUAUUUAUAAUUGGUUAAGAUAACAAAAUAUAUCUUAUAAAUAUCUUUUUAGUAUUUAAAACUUAUUUUUACUUGGUUUGAAAUUCAAAAAUAUAUAAUUUUAAAACUUUUGAAUUUCUUUUUUAUCUAUAUGAGCAAGUUGAGGUUGUAAAGCAUCUAACCAAUUCGAUUACACACAUCUUAAUUUAUUAGUUGACUACAUAUUAUUUCUCUAUUUUUUGUUUUCGUAGUUUUGCGUUAUUUUCUUUUUGUUUCUUUUUUUUUAUUUCCAAAUAUAUUAUUGUAUUGUUGCUGAAUCAACUUCUAUUUCUCUAUAUGUUGUUUUAUUUCAAGAUGCAAAUGAAGAUUAAUAGAAAGCUCAUAGAAAAUUGUUGUUUAUAUACUUUCGGCAGUGUCCUUGUGACGAAUGAAUUUUUCUUUUCAAAGCAACGUAAAUUGUUCUCUUUCAUUUUUUCUUUCACUUAGCAUAUCAAAGAACAUUGAAAAUUUCUUUCAUAGUUUAUCUACAAUCUCGACACUUUUCUUUUGUUCUAUAAUGGUUUUAGGGGAGAAGCAUAAAGAAAGUGAGAAGAUGACAUAAAAUAAGAUUAGAUUUUCAUUUACUCUUGAUUUGUUUCCUUAUUGAGGGGAUUUGCAGUACAACCAUACUCAUAUUUUCAUUUUUUUCGUUGUUAUAGAGUGAAAGGAAUAAAUAUUGAUUUGCAUAUGAUUAUGAAUCAUUACUGAAUUUUCUCUCCUUUUCUGCUGUAGCUCAAGUUUAUUCCUAAUACAUAUGUGUGUGUGAUAGCUUUAUGAUAAAUCUUUUUUCAUUAUCAAUGAGGAUAGUUAUCUAAUAUUGCAUACUACUAGGCAAUAAUAAUAAUAAUAAUAAUAAUAAUAAUAAUACUAUUAUUAUUUUUAGAAAAUUGUACCUUUUAAAAAAAUACUAUGCAAUUGUUAUUAGAUAAAUGAAACAAAUAAUCUAUCAAUAGAAUAUAUGUACUUAACUAAUUUAUUUAUUUUUUAAUUGUAUUGCUAAAUUAAAUUUAAAGUUUUUUACAUUAAUUUUUAACUUUUCUGUAAAAAUCUAUAAUUCAUUAUAUAUAUAUAUAUAUAUAAUUCCGUAAUAAAGCAACCCACACAUUGCUCAGGGUUUCUCCUAGUUAAAUACGUGCUUUCAAAAAGUGGUGAAAGGAAAGAUUUAUUUACACCUGUAUAUGGGUUCAUUUAUAUAUAAAUUCAAUUAUAAACAGUAUUUUGAUUUAAACUAGAGUCUUUUUGACUAUAAAAUGAGAAAAAAAAAGACACAAAGCACUAAUAUUUUUUUUAAAAAAAUAUUUUUUUAAUUGGCUUGAUAUAUUCAACCACAUGUAGAACAAAUGUGGCAAGAAAUUUCCGGUGCUCGCAUAAGUUGCCUUUCCCCUUUCAACUUUGUUACAUUUUCCUUAUUUAUUUAUUUAUUUAUUUUGAAUGGAAAACAUUUUCUUUAAUUUUAGAUUCUCAUCAACUUAGACCUGUUUUCUACGGUUAUUUGUUUUUAGUUUUUAUUUAUUAGAAACGUAAAGCUGUUAUUCAAUUUUUGGUUACUUAUUUCUCAAAACUGUUUUUUUUUUUCCUAAAAUUUUUUUUUCCUUUCUUUUAGUUCAUGAUGUGAAAAAUUCUUCAAAUUAUCAAAUCUGUUAGGGAUCAGCUUUGAUACCAGUUGUUGGGCAUCAGCUCUGAUACCGCUUGUUGGGCUCUUUAAACCAAUUAAGAGAAAAUUAACGCGGCAUAAAAAUAGAAAUGAGACACACGAAAAUUUACGUGGUUCACCCUCAACUGUUUAGGGCUACUUCCACAAGACAAACUCCAAAUAAUUCUUCCACUAUUAAAAAUAGUAGGUACACAGAGAGAGUAAUAUAAAAAUAGUGGCACUCAAAGUGUUUCCCAAAAACACCCCAUAAUAUUUCCUCACUAUUUUUCUCUCCCCUAGUUUUAGGAAACCCAUCCUAAAACUAGAAAACUCGCUCGCUACAUUUUCUCUCUUCUUUCUUCUGUGUUUCUGCUGUGUGUUGUGCGUACUGCCUCUGCCUCUAUUUAUAGGCAGGAUAUGAGAGACGAGUUGUGCACGCUCUCCGCUUUGUCAAAUGGCAUGCCAACCUUUGAAUUGUUGGCCGCCAACUUUUGACUUUUUAAAUACCACGAUUUUUUUUUCUUUUCAUUUGUGAGAUGGUCCCACUUGAGUGGGCACCACCACAACAAAUCUCCCCCUGCACACUCAAGUGUAGACGUUAGCCAUCAUCUCCCCUGCAGCUAUAAUCUAUUAGAUCUGCCCACCAUCUUAUACCGCCGCUACAACAUUGCGAGAUACCUCGCCCGACCUCCUUUUGUCGGGAAGACUUUCGCCACAAGGCACCACCUGCAGAUCUUUUUCCGGUCUUGGUCCUGUUGUUACACGGCAACUCUUUGCACGCUUCAGUGAUCUUGACUGCCACGACACGGCUCCCUCUGCAAAUGUGAUUGGAUAUCCUGAAAAUCCAUUUCACUGCAGUCCAAUGUUCCUUUCCAGGUUUGAAAGAAACCGAUUCACUACUCCAACUGGGUGAGCAAUAUCUGGCCGUGAACAAACCAUGACAUUCAUCAAGCUUCCAACUGCUGAAGCAUAUGGAACCUUUUCCUUUUCUUCCUUCUCUCCAUCUGUAAAAGGGCACAGUUUAGAACUCAAUUUAAAGUGAUUAGUAAGAGGACAACUAACCGCUUUAGCAUUCUCCAUUCUAAACCUUUGAAGUACUUUCUCAAUGUACUUCUCCUGUGACAACCAUAAUUUCUUNNNNNNNNNNNNNNNNNNNNNNNNNNNNNNNNNNNNNNNNNNNNNNNNNNNNNNNNNNNNNNNNNNNNNNNNNNNNNNNNNNNNNNNNNNNNNNNNNNNNNNNNNNNNNNNNNNNNNNNAUAUCAACCACAUAGAGCAAAAACAAUGUAGUCAUCAUCAGAGAAUAGAAACACAGUGAUCUGAAGUAGUCUUUCUGUAGCUAUGCUCCCCCAUAAUAGACUCAAGCUUCUUGUACCACUGUCUCAGUGCCUGCUUCAAGCCUUACAAGCUCUUCCUCAGUUUGCAAACACAAUCCUCUUUUUCUAUGAAAUCCUCUGGCUGCUCCAUGUAUAUUUCUUCUUCCAAAUCUCCAUGUAGGAAGGUAGUAUUUCCAUCCAUUCUGAGCACUGUCCGAAUGGAUGUCAUUUUNNNNNNNNNNNNNNNNNNNNNNNNNNNNNNNNNNNNNNNNNNNNNNNNNNNNNNNNNNNNNNNNNNNNNNNNNNNNNNNNNNNNNNNNNNNNNNNNNNNNNNNNNNNNNNNNNNNNNNNNNNNNNNNNNNNNNNNNNNNNNNNNNNNNNNNNNNNNNNNNNNNNNNNNNNNNNNNNNNNNNNNNNNNNNNNNNNNNNNNNNNNNNNNNNNNNNNNNNNNNNNNNNNNNNNNNNNNNNNNNNNNNNNNNNNNNNNNNNNNNNNNNNNNNNNNNNNNNNNNNNNNNNNNNNNNNNNNNNNNNNNNNNNNNNNNNNNNNNNNNNNNNNNNNNNNNNNNNNNNNNNNNNNNNNNNNNNNNNNNNNNNUGGAUUUUCUAACUCUGGCACUUGUUCUUGUGGAACAUUUUCUUCAUCUCCAAUUCAUCUGCGUUCUAUUAGAGGGACUCUCUGCAUGUCUGUUGAGUCUUCAUGAAAUCUAUUGGCACUCUGCUUCAAUAUCUUCAAUAGUCUGAUCUUCAACAAAUACAGCAUCACGAUUUCUUAUAAUCGUCUUCUGGAUUAGGUCAUAAAACCUAUAGCCACAUUGGUCUUGGCCAUAGCCAAUGAAUACACACCGUCUAGUCUUGACAUCAAGCUUAGAUCGUUCAUCCUUCGGGAGAUCCACGAAGGCUUUGCAACCAAACACUCGCAGAUGAUCAUAGGAAACAUCCUUUCCUAACCAUACUCUCUCUGGAGUAUCAUACUGUAGAGGGAAACAGGGUGAACGAUAAACUACUGUGAGUAAAGCUUCACCCCAAAAUCUCUUAGACAACUUUGCAUGUGAGAGUACACAUUUGACUCUCUCCAUCAAAGUUCUGUUUAUCCUCUCAGCCAAACUGUUCAGUUGCGGCGUCUUGGGAGGUGUCGUUUGAUGUUGAAUGCCAUGCUCUUUGCAGAAAGCAUCAAAUGGCCCAUUGUAUUCUCCACCAUUAUCUGUCCUGAUACACUUCAGCUUCUUGCCUGUCUGUCUCUCAACCAGGUUUAAAAGACUUCAAUGUGUAUACCCAGGUCUUCCUAGAAUGGUCAUCGAUAAAUAUCUGAAAAUAUCGAUUUCCACCAUAUGAUAUCGUCAAAGGUCCACACAAAUCUGAAUGAAUCAGAUUUAAUACAUUCUUCAUUCUAGAAGGAGGGGUAAUCUUGAAAGCCACUCUGUUUUAGCUUUCCUGCCAUACAAUCAGGACACUUCUCUAGGUGAACUUCAUCCAAUCCAGGUAGUACGUUCUUUNNNNNNNNNNNNNNNACUCAUGUGGCGUAGUCGUUUAUGCCACAAUUCAACUGUACUAUCGUUCUCCGCUACACUCAAAGUGUCUUGAGAGAGUUUCGCAUGCAUCACAUACAGCUUUCAGUCUUUAGCUACCACAAAUGAACCUUUUGUGAGCUUCUACUGACCAUUUUCGAAGGUGCUACAGAAACCUUCAUCAUUAAAUCUGCCAACCGAGAUUUGGAUGCAUGCUCUAAAGCCCAUUCCUCAUCAGUCUUGUCUUCCAGUUUUGUUCAACUAAACACAGGUAAAUGCAUUUUGAUUACCAUAAGGAGAUCUCUCAUUUCUCCAUAUAUGGUAAUUCCCGCCAUUUAGACUGAUCAUUUUGCUUGUCCAUUUUGCCUUGUGAAGAAAAUCAUCACCAACAUAAACUGUAUAUGUGAAUAGUGACCAUGAAUAGUAACAGUCUACUCGAAUAGUAACUGUAUGCAUGAAUAGUAAUUGUACACAAAUAGUAUUAGGCCUAACAGUGACGGGCUCAGCAACAUUAAUGCCAAUAGUAACUAUUCACCAUCAACCGCGAGUUACUAUUUUACUAUUCAUCACUAAGUCAAUGCUGCAACGUCUUUCCAAGCGGACAGCACCAAUGGACUCGUCGUAAUUUUCUCUUCAUCGUGGUAUAUUUAUUUUCAAAAUAUAUCCACGGAUCCAGUACCGCUAUCUGACCGGCUGGACCUGUCGAAACCUUCGGCUCUGAUACCACUUGUUAGGGAUAAACUCUGAUACCAUUUGUUGGGCAUCAGCUCUGAUACCACUCGUUGGGCCCUUUCAACCAAUUAAGAGAAAAUUAAAGCAGCGGAAAAAUAACCUUGUGACACACAAAAAUUACGUGGUUCACCCUCAACUGUUUAGGGCUACGUCCACGGGACAAACUCCGAAUAAUUCUUCCACUAUUAAAAAUAGUAGGUAUAUAAAGAGAGUAAUACAAAAAUAGUGGCACUCAAAGUGUUUUCCAAAAACACCCCAUAAUAUUUCCUCACUAUUUUUCUCUCCCCUAGUUUUAGGAAACUCACCCUAAAACUAGAAAACUCACUCACUACAUUUUCUCUCUUCUUUCUUCUGUGUGUGUUGUGCGUACUACCUUUGCCUCUAUUUAUAGGCAGGAUAUGAGAGACGAGUAAUGCACGGCUCUCCGUUUUGUCAAAUGGCAUGCCAACCUUUGAAUUGUUGGCUGCCAACUUUUGACUUUUCAAAUACUACGUUUUUUCUUUUCAUUUGUGUGUGGGUCCCACUUGAGUGGGCACCACACAACAAAAUCUCUCCCUUAUUAAGCCAUUAAAGAUUUUAGUUCAUAAUAAAAAAUCUAAAAAUAUAAAAUCUAAGACAAAAUAAUUAAAAAUAUUUCACACUUAAAUUUUUAAAUUUAAAAUUAAAUUAACUAUUGAUUAUUAUGUAUACAAUCAAUUGAAUAAAAAUAUAACAUCCAAGUAUUAUAAUUAUAAUAAAUAAAUAAUACUAAAUGACAUUAGAUUUAUAUGGAUAGAGAAAAUAAUAAUAAAUAUAAAAAUAAUACUAAAUAGAGAAGAGAUGGAAAAAAAAACGUAGAAUUUUAAUAGAGAUAAUAAAGCUAAUGCUUAUAUAUUUUGAAUAAAUAAAUGACAUUAAUUUUAUAUGGAUAGAGAAUAUAAUAAUAAUAAUAAUAAUAAUAAUAAUAAUAAUAAUAAUAAUAAUAAUAAUAAUAAUAAUAAAUAUACAACAUAGCUUUGAUUCUCUUAAAUUUUCGUAACUCACGUAAUUCCAUUCCUAAAAAGAAGAAUAUUCCAUUGCACUUCUUCUUGAUUUUAUGUGUGUACACUGCAUUAAAAUAAUAAAUGAGUGAAGAACAUUCCCUUCAUGUAUGGUAUAAAAUUUUGUGAAAGACUUCAUUUGGCUAUACUAUAUCUAUGAUCCCACGGAUAUAUUAAAUCAAUAAAAUAAGGAUUUAUGUUAAAAUAAAGAUAAUUAUGAUCAUACACUAAAAAAAUAAUUUUAAAAAAUUUAUAUUUUCAUUAAUUUGAUUUAUAGAUAAAUUCAUAUAUCCGGUAUAGGCAAAUAUAAUCCAAGGUGGACUAAUUCUAUUGAUUCUUAAUUAUAUUGAUAAUGUUUGUCAGAGUGAUCCUUAAAUUAAAUGAUAGUGUUGAUUUUUAUAGUGUUUUUAUUGUAAUUUUGAUUGAAAUUUCUAUUACUUUUAAUUUAUUUAAAUUAGUUUUUAUGUAAUAUUGAUAUGUUUUUAUUCAAAAGCUUCCUUUAAUCACAACUCACUUGAUUGGAAAGAAAAUUGUAGGAUUUUGCAAAGAAAAGAACAAAAAUAAAGCAAAGUACAAUUGGCACGCCCCAGCCCGUGUCGCGAAGCACGGCCGUGUCUGGCACAAGGCAAGACAAACCAAGAGACAGAGAGAUGCACGCCCCAAGCCGUGCCGAGGAACACGCCCGUGCGCGCUAGCCUUCCCAGGCCGUGCUGCGGAACACGCCCGUGCCUCAUAUGCCUCUGACUUCCAGAGAGAUGCACGCCCCAGCCCGUGCUACCCCGCACGCCAGUGCGCGCUAUCAACCAGACUUCCAAGAAACUGCACGGCCAGAUAAGCACGCCCGUACGCGCUAGCUUGCUAGGCCAUGCUGCGGAACACGGCCCGUGCCAGAGCCUCUAAUCCUCCGACUGGCACGCCCCAGGCCGUGCUAGUCAACACGCCCGUGCAAGCAAGAAUUCUAUAUUUUGAGUCAAAAGUUGCCAACUAAUUUCUACCAUUUUCAAAAGAUGCUUUGGAUGCUUUCUUCACAUGCCAAUCAAAGUUCAACCAUGUGCAAUUGAGAAACCAUAAUUGAGAGCAAUUCAUGGCUUGAUUUACAAACUUUUCCACCUCACAAAGUUGAACUUUACUCAUUAAAACACAAGGCUUGUUCCCCCAAGAAGUCUAUAUAAGGAAGAGAAGGAGCCACUCCAAAGGCAUCUAGAAAUUCCAUCUUUCCCACACUCUACAUUAACUCUUUUCUUAUAGUUUUAUAGUUAGCUUCAUUUUCUUUUAAAAAGUUAAGUAUUCAAGAGUUGUGCAAAGAUUCAAAGAAGCCAUCAAAACAAUUUAUCUCUAGUUCUUAUUUCUAACUCUUAAUCUUGUUUAUUUCUUUCAUUAUCUUAUUGAUUAUGGAAUAUUUAUCAAGUAUUGUUGAGUUUUAUUUAAGUACUAUGUGUAACUAAACUCUUAUAUUAGGGGGUUUGAUGUAGCUUAAUCUCUUUUCCAAUUUAUGCAAUUAGAUUUAUUUUUCCUUAUUCAAGUUAUGAUUUAUUAAUGAACUUAAUGCUUCUAGGCAGAAUUUUCCCCUAGAUUGAUUUAUUUCAAUUAUCACUAUCGGAAGAAGGAUCUUUGAUAUGAAAAGGUUAAUAAAACACAUGAGAAUAAUAACUUGAUGCGGAAGCUAUACGGUUUGACUCAUGGGGGGUUUUCAUAAGUUAAUGACCUUAGGUUAUGAAUUCACAAAACAAACCAUAAAACUUAAUGAUUUAAUUCAUGUUUGAUUGCGCUAUUGGAAGAUAGGUAAUUAGACCGGGUUAAAAUAGCUAACAAUACAUCGGGAGAGCUUGUUAGUGAUUUUUGGGUUGUUUCCCCUACUUGAAUAAUUAAAUUGAUCAAUGAACUAAUGAAAUAAAUUGGAUAGAGUUAAGUGAAAUCAAAACCCUAGUAAUUUUACUUUCUUGAUUUCUUUAAUCAAUAAUUGCUUGCUUAACUUCUUAUUUUUACUUGUUGAAUUUAAUUUCUAUAAACAAUUUCCUCAUUUAUCGUUUAAAUAAUAACAAGAUAAUAUAAUUUUGGUACUUGGUAUACAAUUCCUAUGGAUAUGAUAUUCUACUCACUCUAUAUUACUUGUAGCGAUUCGUACAUUUGCGAAUUAAGCUGUCAUUAAACUUUAAUCAGAGACGACGGUGCGGAAAUUUAGAAAAACCACAAAAAAAAGGGAAAAAAAAUGUAAGAAAAGGAUAUGUGAGCACCCGUCCUCUUUGUUCUUCAUUUCCGCUUUUUUGUAUUCCCUUAAAUAUUAAUACACGUCAUUCAACGAACAACUCAAACAAAUAUUAGAAAUUACAUAAUUUUUUAUACAUGGGGAUAGUUGAUUAUAAUUAGUCAACUAUUUAUGCUGAAUGGAAAAAAUAUAGUACAAAAUAUAUUAUUAUAGUUUUAAUAGUCAGUCAACAUCUCAAUAACAACUAAUUAAAGUUUAAAAACUACAAAACUAAAUCAAUUUUAUCAAAUACAUGAUAUAAUUCACUAAAAAAACCGGUUUAUCAACAGAAAUUUUCAUUGAUAAGUAUAAAAAAAUCCACUUGUAAACCGAUUUACCAAGCAUUUACCGAUAACGAAUCAUCCAUAGGCAAAACAAUGAUAAGUAAAUAUUUAUCAACCAAAAUAUAUUUUGUCCAUGAAUUAGCAAUGAUAAAUUCAUUGAGAAAUAGUAAAUUUCGCGGUAAAUUUAGUUGAAAAAUUGUGUUGGAUGUAGUCGGCAUUCCAUGGGUAUGUUUUUGCCAAACCAUCGUUACAGUCCUCGUAACACGCCGAAAAAUCAUUAUAACGAUUUAUUUAAUUUGUAUAAGUACCAUAUUUUCUCGUCAGUACCAUUUACAAUCAGUCGGGAAUCAAUCAAAAAAUUUAAAUAUUUUUUAAAAUCGAAUUCCAUUGGUAAAUGGACGGUAAUUCAUUCGUAAAAUAUUAUUAAUUUUAAAAAUUAAUUUGUAAAAUCUUAAUUCAAAAAUUAUCAGACCCGUUGAAAAGCAAUAUAAAUAAGAAAUUUAUUUUUGGAAUUGAUGACAAUCAAAAGCUCCACAAUCAACCAUAUAUGUAUACACAUGUAUCACAAUAGCAAGCAAUUUAUAUAUAUAUAUCAACUUACAACAGCUUUUUCUUUUUUUUUUUUUUUUUUUUGGGGUUUUUUAACCAACAGUAUCACAUAAUAUUCAUUUUGUAUUAAAAAAGAAAAAGGCUCUAGCCAUUUCUCUCUAGCUUUCUCUUUUUUUUUGUGUUUUUCUAGAUUUUUUUUUUUUGAACUACCAUCGACUGUUUCUUUGAUCGGCGGUGAUUUCUUUUCGUCCCUCUCUAUUGUUUUUUUUUUUUAUUAGUUUUCUUUCUAAUAAAUGUUAAACCUAUAAUCGUUUGAAAUAAAUUUUGGAUUUAUUUUCUCAGAUCUGUAAUAGUUGAUAGAUCUUGAGUGUUUUUGAUACUCCUUUACUGGGAUUAUUAAUUUCUCUCGUUUCGUAGGGUUGUUCCUAGUUAUUGAGGAAUUAUAUGUGGAUCUUUUAUUUAUCUAGCAGUUCGAAAUACAAAGUGGAUUGUUGAUUGCCUGUGGUUAAAGACUUUAGAUCUUCAAGUUUGGGAAAAUUUGUUUCACCUAUAGAGUCUGGUAGUAUAGCCUAUUCCUUCAUUAAAAUUUGAUAUAUUAAACUCUUCUACGGGUGUUAGUUGUAAUAAGUUUCCGAAAAAACAAUGUUCGAGACAAUAUUGGGGAAGGUUUCUUUUGUCAUCCUAUUUGAACAUAGACCAAUUUUUUAUCCGAAAGAUUAACCUCUUUUAACAAGAUCAAGAAUAUCUCCAAACAAAAGAUUUCAAUUUUCUAUAUUUGUAUUUCUGAUUCCUAUAAGAAUAUUAUGAUGUACUCAACUUAUAAAUAUUAUUAAUGAAUAGUUAAAUUUUUUUAAAAAAAUAUGCAACAGCCAACUAUUUGCCAGUAUUGCUUAUGUUUUUUUUUUUUUUUUUUCCUAAAGUAGUACUACUGUUAAACAAAACAGAUUCUCAAUUUUCUAUUUUUUGCUUAGAGGCUCUAGGGUUAGUCCUUUCUGAUUUACAUCUUGCUCAUCUUUUAGAAGCUCUUGUCUUGGAUAUUUAGAGUUUUUUAGUUCAUGAUUAGGAGUGCUCUCUUCAUCAUGUUUAUCGCGAAGGUAAUUUUGCAGUCGAUCGUUUGGCUAGGUUGAGUCAUUCUAUCUCUUCUUUGUUAUCUAUUUGGGAUUUUAGUCCUGUUUCUUUAUCUUUGAUCCUGGCUCAUGCUUGCAUAUUAGCUUUUUGAGAUAAGUUUUCUUUUUCUGCUUCCAUAUAUAACAAAAAAAAGAUAGAAGGAAGGAUUUUGAAGAUAAUCAGAUCCGACUUGUAGAAAGACCACAUAGUCAAAUAGUGGCCAUAAAUAGCUAACAAGUGGAGCACGUGAUCGCCUACAUCACAUGAAUUAUCCUCUAUCAAUUUGAUCGGAUACUUCAAAUCAAGAUUGUUUUUUUUUUUUUUUUUUUUUUUUUUUUUUUGCACGAAUACUUUAUUAUUAGACUUAUUUUACAAAAAUAUAGAAAUAUAUUUGAUCUGUAUUCUAUAUCUGCAUACGAUUUCCUCUUAAUAAAAUUUUCCAUUUGAUUUCCUCUCAAAAAAAAAAAAGAUUCUCAAUAAAUUAUAGUUGAUCACGUCAAUGGCUCAAUUUAUAAUUAAAUUUAUAAAAUUAUAAAAAUAAAAAAUAAUCAUAAAAGACUAUUAAAUACAGUUGAAUUAACCAUAUAUAUAUAUAUAUAUAUAUAUAUAUAUAUAUAUUUUUUUUUUUUUUUGAUACAUAAGAGGUUCAAUGGACUACAUGAGUUACAUCACAUACUAUCCUAUAGAUUCACUAAAUUUGUGAAAACAAUUAUGGUCGAGAGCACGCAAACUCGAAAUUGAAAUAAAAUAAGUGAAAAAUAUAAACUCAACCACCAAAUAGAGUACGCGAUCGCCUACAACACAUAUAUUAUCUUUUUUUACAAAAAUAAAGAAACAUGUUGAUCUGUAUUCUAUAUAUGCGUACGAUAUCCUCUUACUAAAAUUUCCACUUUGAUUUCCUCUAAAAAAAAAUAUUCUCAAUAAAUUAUAGUUGAUGAUGUCAAUGACUCAAUUUAUAAUUAAAUUUAUAAAAUUAAAAAGUAAAAUAAACCUUUACUAAAUUAUAGUUGAUGAAAUCAAUGACUCUAUGUAUAAUUAAAUUUAUAAAGUUGAAAGACUAAAUUAACAAUAGUAAAUCGAAAUCCACAGACUACAUAAAAGUUAAUUAAUUUGACCUUUGACCUUUAAUUAAUAUGAAAGUAACUUUACUUGUUAAUAAAUGAAAUUCAAAUAUAAUUUACUUGAAAAUAAUUUUUUUUGGCUUAAUAUAUAAAUUUUCCAUGUACUUUUCAUAAAAACCCAUGUGCCACUCUUAAUUUUUUAUUUUGACCCAUAAAAUACUUCAACUUGUAGAAUUGAACUUGUUAAAUAUUUAGUUUGACCUAUUAAGUACCUCAAUUUAUAAAAUUUUAUCGAUUAAACACUUAUUAAAUAGUUAAAAAAAUAUAAAAAUUAUUGUUACAAAAGUCAUAUUAACUACAUAUCAAAUUAUUUUUUUAAAAAAAACCACAUAUUAAAUGAUAAUAAUAUUUUAUAUAUAAAAGUCAAUAAUGUUAAAAUUGCUCCUUUUAAUGUAACAAGGAGUGAUAUUAUUAUAGAAAGUGAAGCUAAAUGUGUCAAUCGAGUGUGGUCUGAUUGAUCUUCUUACCUAUCGUAAAAUGAUGAGGUGAGUUGAAGGUCUCGAGUUCAAAUUACCUUUUCAAAAGUUAUCACUUCUCCAUUGGGCCUCCAUUUAUCAAAAAAGGAUAAAAAAAAAAAAAAAGUGAAGUUUAAGGUACCAUAAAGUCCAUUUUAAAGUUUAAAGUGAUAAAGUUUUUUAUUUAAUCAAAUUUCAAGGGCUAAAUUAUGUACUUUAACUUAAAAUGUGCAAUUGAUAUCCAUGUAAUCAUAUUUGUAACAAAUUCAGGAUUAAAACUCAUCAAUUUGUUUUUUAUUUUCUAAAAUACUCCCCAAUAAUAUAAUUUUAUAAAAUCAAUAUUAAAAUAAGAUUAUUUUCAUCUUUUUUUUUAUUCUAAAACACUGAUAAACGGAAAAAUGUUUGGCUCACGGCCAGCUUCGUAUCCAUGCGUGGCUUUGGUCCUCUCUGGUAGGCGCUAGGUUUAGUUUAAUUUUAUCUUUUAUUAUUAUUAUUAUUAUUAUUAUUAUUAUUAUUAUUAUUAUUAUUAUUAUUAUUAUUAUUAUUAUUAUUAUGCUAUUAGUCAAAGUUGGCAUGUAAGGCUGUUUUUAUUAUUUUUUUUUUCACUAAGUCAAAAUUAAUUUAAACCGACCUUUACAAUUAAAUUUUACGUUCCAUAGCUAACGCAAAAUAAUUCCAAAUAGGUCAAAUCUAAUUAAAUUAAUUAGUAAAAAUCAAUUAAAUUUAAAUUCUAUAGUCCAAUUAAAAUUCAAUUUAGUCAAAAUCAAAUUAAUUUCUCCCAAUUCCAAAUUAAGGCUUAAAACAAAUCCAAUUUUAAAAUUGAAAUCAUUAAUAUAAAAGUCAAAUAGUCAAAUUUAAGCCCUAUAAUAUGAAUUGAUGCGUUUCUUAUAAAAUUAUCAUGCUCAACUCCAACCACCAAAGGAAUUGUUCACUUUCGAUCAAGCCAAUUUUAUCAUAUACUGGACUGACAAGAUAAUUACAAUUAAAUUUUAACCUCCAUAACUAAAACAAAAUAAUUCCAAUAGGCCAAGUCUAAUUAAAUUAAAAGAGUAAAAAUAAAUUAAAUUUAAGCCCUAUAGUCCAAUUCAAAAUCAAUUUGGUCAAAAUCAAAUCAAUUUCUCCCUCGGUUCCAAAUCAAGGCUUAAAACAAAUCCAAUUUUAAUAUUGAAAUCAUUAAUAUAAAAUUCAAAUAGUCAAAUUUAAGCCCUAUAAUAUGAAUUGAUACAUUUCUUAUAAAAUUAUCAUGCCCAACUCCAACCUCCAGAGGAAUUGUCCGUUUUAAAUCAAGUCAAUUUCAUCUCAUACUUAGAUUGACAAGAUCCAUACGUUUUAUCUCGUAGGUGAAAUGGGGAACUUCCCAGGAAGUCAUCAAGUUUAACAACGGAGUUCUUCCAACUCUCUAGGUUAUUUCAUCAAAAGACAUAUCUAACGAUUAGUUUUUCCAUUUUCCAUAAAUGGGGAAAUUAGGAUUGCUUUGUUAGGCCCGGAUUUCAUAUAUAAUUUAUUUAAAAUUUUUUCUUAAAUAUUAUUUUAAAAAUUAGUUAAUAUUUUUAUUUAUGUAAUACAUUAAAAUAAAAAUAAUAUAUUCACUUUAAGUUAAAAAGAUAUACUCUCUCUGUUCUCUUUAUUUAGAGAAAACAGAAAAAGCUUUUGGAUUAAAAAAGUUAGUUAAAUGAAGUUUACUUCCUAAAAUGUCCUUCAUUUCUUCAUUAAUUAUGGGAAUAAUAGCUAACGCAAAAGGCAGUCCUAAGAAGUGCAUCUAUUACCUAUUUGCAUCCUUUGAAUGUUACUUUAAUCUUCUUUAUUAACUCUAUCACACUUUAUUACAAUGUAGACGUUUUACAUAAUAUGUGCUCAAAAAACGUAAAAAAUUGAUAUAUUCUAAACUUAUAUCUUCAAAUGGUUAGCUAUAUUUAGUUUUAAGAGUUUUUUUAUUUAAAUAUGCAUUUUUAUUUUUUUGUUUUUUUUGUCCAAGUUUCCUUGAUCUGAUUUAAAUUAAUGAGAUUAAUUAUCUUCUCAAUUUUAAUCUUGUUAUCUUCUCUUAUCAAUUUAUGUUCAUAUACUUAUGCAUUUCUUAAAAAUGAUAAUUACUGUAUUUGACACCUUAGCAAGUUUUAAUUUGAAAUUGAAUACUAAAAUUUGAGUUUUAGUAUGUGUUUGAAGUGGCAAUUUUUUUAAAAAAUGUACAAUCUAGCAAAAUAUUUGGCAACUUUACAUUUUUAAAAGUGCACAACUAAUAAUAAUAAGGCCACAAAGUCGAUUGCAAAAGAGUACAAUCAUUAUAAGGAUUUGACAAAGUGCACAACUGAUAAUAAUAAAGUCACAAAAUGGUUUACAACAGUUCACAACUACUAUUAAGUAUUAAUAAAAGGCUACAAAAUGGCUUAAAAAAGAAUACAACCAUAACAAGGAUUUGAAAGAAAAAAUUACUGUAUUUUAAAAAGUGCACGAUUAAUAACAAUAAAGGCCACAAAGUGGCUUAAAGAAGUUCACAACUAUUACCUAACACAGAAAAUAAUAACUAUUAAAAAAGUGCACAACUAAUAGUAAUAAGACCACAAAAUGGUUUACAGAAGCGCACGGUUAAUAAUAAAAAGGCUACAAAUUGGCUUAGAGAACUUCACAACCAUUAAUUAACACAGAGAAAUAAAAACCAUUGAAAAAGUGCACAACUACUAAUAACAAUGCCACAAAAUGGAAGUGGCUUCCAUAACUUCACAAUCGUUGACUAACACAAAAAAACAAAAACCAUUGACAAAGUGCAUAAGUACUAAAAACAAACCCUAAUUUCCCUCUUUUUUUCAAUAAUCAAAACACACCUGCACUUUUAAAAACAAAACGUGACUGUUUUUAAAACUUAACUGAGCAUAACAUAUAUUCGUUCCUAACGUCAACAGUUGUGACCAAAUUUACAAUGAUAAAAGUGGACAUAUAUUAAUCAAACAUACAAAUAAAUGUUAAAUUUGUGUUUACGUGCCAUUAUUUUGACGUUUAAUAUCAGAACUUUAUUUUUGUGACCGAAUUUAUAAAAACGACAGCUAUUACUAUAAAAUGAGAUGAAAAAGUGAGUUGAUAACUUGUCCUUUGAAACACAUGUACAUUAAAUGCUGAGAAUAAUAUUUUUGUAUGCCACUUUCCUUCAUUGUUAAGCUUCAAUCUUAAAACAAACACAUAUACUUCCAAGGGUAUUCUAGUCUUUUAAACUUCGCUUGCAUCUCAAAGUUACUAUUUUGAGUAAAAUUCUUUAUAUAAAAAUACAACCAAAAAGGAAAUUUUAUCUAAAUAAAAAAAAUAGAGGAAGUAUAUACACAUCAACCAUCAACCACCAGCUGGUAUGAACCGUUAAACCAAACGAGCCCUAAAUGAGAAAUUGUCGCUUAGCUCACGACAAGCUUCAUAUUCAUGUAUGGCUUGCUUCUCUAGGGAACCGUAAGGUAAUUGUUUUUUAAUGGCUCGAUCCGUAUUAAUAGGAAGUUUAUUUCAUAUUCAUGUGUGGCUUGCUUCUCUAGGGAACCGUAAGGUAAUUGUUUUUUAAUGGCUCGAUCCGUAUUAAUAGGAAGUUUAUUUCAUAUUCAUGUGUGGCUUGCUUCUCUAGGGAACCGUAAGGUAAUUGUUUGGCUCGAUUCAUAUUAAUAGGAAGUUUAUUUUUAUUUAUUCCAAGUCGGCCUUGGAUUCUUAAUUAAUUCAUAUUAUUUAAUUUAGGGUUUAGUCUAUAAAUACUAAGACUACAAAGAGCUUUGAGAAUCACAAAAAGUAGGGUUUUCCUCUCUAUUUUGUUCUAUCCUCCAUCAUAAAAUAAUUUUAUAAUUGUAUCUAUGGGUUCUUUGUCCAACUCUAAGCUUCCUGUGAUAGACUUCACAAGUGAAAACUGUGAAGAGUUAAUCUCAAACAAUUCAACAAUAACCUAUAUUGUGCAAACCACUAGAUUCAACAAAAUAGAUUGAAUUAGAAAAUGUUGCGUACCUGACAUCGUUGUUCGUCGAUCUUGAUGUGUAGAAUUAGGUUUGCAGCCUUCCAGAGAAUUAAAGAAUCGAUUUAGCGGAAGCAGUACGAAAGGAACGUAAAACUGAAUCGUAUUCAACUCCUCUGGGGACCACGACCUUUAUAUACCUGUAGGGUUAGUACAAUUCCUAUUUCGGUCCUUUAACGAAAUAGGAAUUAUAUAAUGGUCUCUACACUUAAUAUCUAUAAUUAGUUGAUACCUCAAUAGUCAAUUAUUCACAAUCAAGACCACAUUUGAAAUUGACUUUACAAUUAGACUGCUGUACAUAUUUAAUUUUACAUAUUAAGCCCACAAUAGAAAAUUAAAUCCAACAAUCUCCCACUUGGGCGAACAUAUGUUAAAUAAAAUACAUACACCAAAAUGAGCUCAACAAACGCAGUCAUACAAGGUAUCCAAAAACAAUCUCGUCCAUUAGUUAUAUUGAUAAAGAGCUGAAGAAACAUUCGCCAUAGAUCUCAUGACUAAGUUCAUCAUCAACUACAUUACCAAUACCCCUAAAUGACAUAGAUUCAUUAUAGAAGUGUAGCAUGAAAACUACAUGUAAUGUGAUCAUCAUGUCUGUUUCCAACUGGUCACCAACAAAAGUGAGAUCAAGCAAAACAAUAAUAAUAAUACAGAGUGUAACCAUCAACCAAAAUGAGUACUCAACAAAAUUUCAUAAUAAAACAUAUCCAAAAUAAAAUAGAGCAUUCAAAAACAUAAUGUAUGCAUAAAGAGCAAACUCCCACUAAAACUAGACAGUCUCAAACAAAACGAUACCCAUAUGAGCGGUGUGCUCAUGGAAAACUUUCGGUAUCACUGCCUUUGUAAGCGGAUCCGCAAUCAUAGAGUUUGUUCCAAUAUGCUCUAAGGAUAUCUGUCCACUCUGUACCCUCUCCUUCACAGCCAAGAACUUAAUCUCAAUGUGUUUUGAUCGAGAAGAGCUCCUGUUGUUGUUGGAGAAUAAAACGGCUGACCUGCUGUCACAAUACAACUUCAGUGGUCUUUCUAUUCCACCUACUACACGCAGCCCAGUGACAAGGUUUCUCAGCCAAAUAGCUUGAUUGGAUGCCUCAUAAGAUGCUACAAAUUCAGCUUCCAUGGUGGAGGUUGCUACUAGAGUUUGUUUCACACUCUUCCAAGAAAUAGCACCGCCAGCCAAUAGAAAAACGUAGCCAGAUGUGGAUUUUCUACUAUCUUGGCAUCCAGCGAAAUCAGAAUCAGUAUACCCAAUGAUCUCAAGCUGAUCUGAUCUCCUAUAUGUGAGCAUAUGUCCCUUAGUCCUCUGAAGAUAUCUCAUGACUCUUUUGGCUGCUUUCCAAUGAUCCAUUCCUGGAUUGCUGAGAUAUCUACCUAACAUGCCAACUAUAAAAGAAAUGUCUGGACGAGUACAAACUUGAACAUACAUAAGACUUCCUACAGCUGACGCAUAAGGAACCUUUUGCAUUUCCUGAAUUUCAAGUUCACUCUUUGGACAUUGUUGAUUACUAAAUUUAUCACCUUUUGCAAUAGGGGUAUCCAAUGGUCUAGAAUUCUGCAUACUAAAUCUCUUGAGCACUUUAUCAAUAUAGCUCUUUUGUGAUAAUCCAAGAAUACCUCGAGAACGGUCUCGAUGUAUCUGAAUCCCUAAAACAAAAGAAGCUUCACCUAAAUCUUUCAUCUCAAAAUGCUUUGAAAGAAAAACUUUGGUUUCAUGCAGCAAGACUUUACAAUUAGUAGCAAGAAGUAUGUCAUCCACAUAUAAGACCAAAAAGAUAAACCUACUCCCACUGAACUUAUGGUACACACAAUUUUCAACAGCAUUUGCCUCAAAGCCAAACGAGACAAUUACUUGGUUGAACUUAAAGUACCAUUGACGAGAAGCUUGCUUGAGUCCAUAAAUGGAUUUCUUUAAUUUGCAUACCAGAUGUUUUGGAUCUCCAAUUACAAAAUUUUCUGGUUGCACCAUAUAUAUUGUUUCAUCAAUGUCGCCAUUGAGAAACGCAGUCUUAACAUCCAUUUGAUGAAGCUCAAGAUCAAGAUUUGCAACUAAGGCCAUGAUUGUCCUAAAAGAAUCCUUCGAAGAAACUGGAGAGAAGGUUUCUUUAUAGUCAAUCCCUUCCUUUUGAGUAAAGCCUUUUGCUACAAGACGUGCUUUAUAUCUUUCCACAUUACCUUGAGAAUCCCUUUUGGUUUUAAAUAUCCAUUUGCAACCAAUGGGUUUCUUUCCUUCAGGUAAUUGAACAAGAUCCCAAACUUGAUUGUCUUGCAUAGACUUAUACUCUUCGUUCAUUGCCUCAAUCCACUUAUGAGAGUCAGAACUCUGCAUGGCAUGAUAGAAACUAACUGGAUCAUCAUCUAUCAUGUCUACAGUAUCCUCAUGUUCCUGAAGAAACACUAUAUAAUCAUCUGGAAUAGCACUUCUUCUCUCCCUAGUAGAUCUCCUCAAAGGCAUUUGAACAGGCUCUAAUUCUUGAGGUUGUUGAAUUUGUUCUUGAGGAAGAAUAGCAUUGUCUUGAAUUGGAUCUUGAAUAGUGACAGGAGCAACUGGAGUCUGUACGCUAUCAGAAACAACAAAAGGAAUGAGAACCGAAUCAUCCUUACUUGGUUCCUCUUCAAAGACAAUGUUUCUUUCUUUAUUUCUCCCUCCAAAAUCAACAUCCUCAAAAAAUGUUGCAAUUCUCGUUUCAAAAAAAGUUCUGGAAGUAGGAUUAUAAAACUUGUAACCCCUAGACCGCUCAGAAUAUCCAACAAAGUAGCUGCUGAUAGUUUUGGAGUCCAGUUUUGUUUCAUUCGGCUUGUAAGGCCUUGCUUCAGCUGGACAUCCCCAAACAUGAAGAUGCUUUAGACUAGGCUUACGUCCAGUCCAAAGUUCAUAAGGUGUUUUAGCAACUGCUUUAGAUGGAAUCCUAUUGAGAAGAUAAGCUGCUGUCUUUAACGCUUCACCCCACAGAGACUCUGGUAAAGUAGAAUGACUAAUCAUACUCCUUACCAUAUCCAUAAGAGUCCUAUUACGUCUCUCAGAUACACCAUUCAUGCUGGGAGUACCAGGCAUUGUAUAUUGAGGGACAAUUCCACAUUCCUGUAGGAAAAGCGCAAAAGGUCCUGGACGUUGUUCGCCUGAACCGUCAUAUUUACCAUAAUAUUCACCACCACGGUCAGAUCGAACAGAUUUAAUCUUCUUUCCUAGUUGAUUUUCAACUUCGGCUUUAUAAGAUUUAAACACGUCCAAAGACUCAGAUUUUUCAUGAAUGAGAUAUAAGUAACCAUAACGAGAAUAGUCAUCAAUGAAUGAUAUAAAAUAUCUUUGGCCAUUUCUAGCUGCAAUAUGGAAUGGACCGCAAAUAUCUGUAUGAAUCAGUUCUAAAACAUUGGAUGACCGAAUGGCACCUAGUCUCUUUUGUUUAGUCUGUUUUCCUUUAAUACACUCAAUACAAGAAUCCAAACCUGUGUAAUCAAGUGUAUCUAAGAUACCAUCAGAAACAAGACGCUCAAUUCUUGAUUUGGAUACAUGACCCAAACGUCUAUGCCAAAGUACAGCUGAGUUAUCAAUAUUCAACUUUCUUUUGGUACCUCUUGUAGUAACAUGCAGGGAUUCAUGAUAACUAGUAUCAAUGUCUAACAUAUAUAGAUUAUCACAUUCAUUCAAGCAACCAGUACCCAAAACUUUUGAAUUCAUAGAUAAAGUGAAUACACUGUCUCCAAAAGAACAAUGAAAACCAGAUUUGUCCAAAAAGGAAACAGAAAUCAAAUUCCUUCUAAAAGAGGGAAUAACAAAAGUAUCUAUAAGAUCCAAAAAAUAGCCAGUACUUAAACAUAAUCUAAAAUGUCCAAUUGCCUCUACUUCAACCAGAUCGCCAUUUCCCACAUAGACGUAUCUUUCACCGUCAGUUGGCUUUCUGUAGUUGAGGCAGCCCUGCAAUGAAACACUUAUAUGAGCGGUAGCACCAGAAUCCAUCCAAUAAGUGUUUUUAGGAGCUGAAGUUAAAUUAACUUCACAACAGACUAAAACAAGGUACUUACCCCUCUUUGCAAGCCAAAUAGCAAAUUUAGGACAGUCCUUUCUCAAGUGAUCCGUCUUUCCACAAAAGAAGCAUUUUGGCACAUAAGGCUUCUUUUGUACUGGAUCUACAGCAGUAGCAGCAGCAGGUUUCUCAAUAGCCUUUUCAACAGUCUUUGCAAAAGGCCUCUUUCUUUUCUUGUUCUUGCCCUUCCCAGCUGAAGAAACAAAAUGAGCACUCUCUCUUUUGUUAGAAUUCAUCUUUUCCUCCUCAUCAACACAAUGAGAAAUGAGCUCGUUAAGAGUCCAUUUAUUCGGCUGACAAUUAUAGGAAGUCCUAAUUUGUCCAUACUGAGAAGGAAGAGAAUUCAUAACCAAAUGGACUAAAAGGUCAUCUGGUAAAGCCAUACCCAGCGCCUUCAGUCUCUUUGCAAUCUGAGACAUGCUAAGAAUAUGCUCCCGAACACCACCAUUGCCAGCAAACUUCAUGGAGGUUAAUUUUCCUAAAAGUGUUCCCACUUCGGCUUUGUCAUUCUUGACAUAAGCCCUCUCCAGCUCGGCAAGAUAGUUUUGAGCAUUGUUCUUUUCAGCUGAGACAGAGUCUCGAACAUGUUCUGGGACUCCUUUCUGCAUGAUCAUCAGACCUAAGCGAUUAGAACGCUCCCACUUCUCAUACUGAACCCUUUGAACAUCAGUGCUCGUAUCAGUAAGAGGAGCAGGUUCGUCCAUCCUGAAUGCAAGAUCCAAAUCCAUACAGCCCAGAAAGAUCAUAAUGUCUGAUUUCCAAGACUCAAAAUUUGAUCCCUCAAGUUUAGGGACACAAUCAGGAUUAAAUGACAUGUUAGCUGACAUCAGAGAAAAUAAACAAAUAGAUAAGUAUAAGCUCACAAUCCACAAAUGAAACAAUUCACAUAAGUAGAGAUCAAAAAAUGGAAAUAAGAUACAGACACAACAUUAAUAUUCUCAUCUUUGGAUGUAAAACAUUAACUUGUAAUUAGUAUCUCAACGCAGCAAUCAAAUAUUGAUAACAUAGUCCUGACAAAUAAUAAAUCUUCCUUUGGGCCGAUAUAUCAUUGUCAUGGAAAAUAAUCAAACAAUUAUCACAUAUUUAUUGCCAAACAUGUAUUCAAAACUCAGCCAGAUAGCAACCUUCCUUUGGGCCGAUUAACUAUCCGCAACGAAUUCUAAUACACCUGUCUAAUAUUCUAAAAUAAAUCAAUUCAAGCAAUAGAGGUCACUUUGGUGACUUAUUGAUCAAAUCAAUUUAUUUUAACAAAUAUCAAACACAAUAGGGACUUAAUCACUCCAAAAUUUAAUCUCAAGUCGACAAAUUAAAUCAUUUAAUUGUAAUUAAAACAAAACAAUUGCAAUUAAAUGAAUUGGUGCCGCCGACUUCCUUUUUUUUUUUUUUUUAAUAAAAUCCUGCUAAAAAAAAAUAAAACCACAUCAACAUAUACAAGGAUGUUUUGAAAGCACUAGAGGAGUAUGGAUGCUUCGUAGCCGUUUACGAUAAAGUUCCCCUUCAACUAGAUGAAGACUUGUUUAACGUACUAGAAGAAUUGUUUGACCUUCCUCUUGAGACCAAAAGGAAAAAUGUUUCUGACGUACCUUUCACUGGGUUUAUCGAACAUGUACCCGACCGAUCUUUCAUGGAAUCCAUGGCAAUCACUCGUGUAGAAACUCCUGAAGGAAUUCAAGAUUUCACAAA
rnacentral:lncRNA from 1 species